AUACGGAGGAUGCGAGCGUUAUCCGGAUUUAUUGGGUUUAAAGGGAGCGUAGGUGGGAUAUUAAGUCAGCUGUGAAAGUUUGGGGCUCAACCUUAAAAUUGCAGUUGAUACUGGUUUCCUUGAGUACGGUACAGGUGGGCGGAAUUCGUGGUGUAGCGGUGAAAUGCUUAGAUAUCACGAAGAACUCCGAUCGCGAGGGCAGCUCACCGGGCCGGAACUGACACUGAUGCUCGAAAGUGCGGGUAUCAAACAGGAUUAGAUACCCUGGUAGUCCGCACAGUAAACGAUGAAUACUCGCUGUUUGCGAUACACGGUAAGCGGCCAAGCGAAAGCGUUAAGUAUUCCACCUGGGGAGUACGCCGGCAACGGUGAAACUCAAAUGAAUUGACGGGG
rnacentral:rRNA from 1 species